rnacentral:ncRNA from 1 species
AAAAGACUUAGUCCUAACCUUACUGUUGGUUGUUGCUAGAGAUAUACAUGCAAGUAUCCGCGCUCCAGUGUAGAUGCCCUCGGUACCUCUCAACCAGGUCGGUAGGAGCGGGCAUCAGGCACACCACUAAUUGUAGCCCAAGACGCCUUGCAUUUGCCACGCCCCCACGGGUAUUCAGCAGUAGUUAAUAUUAAGCAAUGAGUGAAAACUUGACUUAGUCAUAGCAAAUCAGAGUCGGUAAAUCUUGUGCCAGCCACCGCGGUUAUACAAGAGACUCAAAUUAACUUUAUCUGACGGCGUAAAGGGUGGUAGCAUGUUAUCAAAGUAACUAAGAUUAAAACACAUCUGAGCUGUCAUAAGCCCAUGAUGUCCAUAAGGCCACCAAUCUUAAAGAAGAUCUUAGGCUCACGAUGAAUUGAAAUCCACGAAAGCCAGGGCCCAAACUGGGAUUAGAUACCCCACUAUGCCUGGCCGUAAAUCUUGAUGCUUUACCUUACCUGAGCAUCCGCCCGAGAACUACGAGCACAAACGCUUGAAACUCUAAGGACUUGGCGGUGCCCCAAACCCACCUAGAGGAGCCUGUUCUGUAAUCGAUGAUCCACGAUAUACCCGACCAUUUCUUGCAACAUCAGCCUAUAUACCGCCGUCGUCAGCCCACCCCGCCUUGAGGGACCAGCAGUGGGCGCAAUAGCCUAACUCCGCUAAAAAGACAGGUCAAGGUAUAGCCUAUGGAAUGGAUGCAAUGGGCUACAUUUUCUAAGCUAGAAAACUACGAAAAGGGACAUGAAACUGUCCCUGGAAGGCGGAUUUAGCAGUAAAGUGGGACAAUCAAGCCCUCUUUAAACCGGCUCUGGGACACGUACAUACCGCCCGUCACCCUCCUCAAAAGCGACCCAAUCGCCCCCAUAACUAAUAAGUCAUUAAGCUAAAGAUGAGGUAAGUCGUAACAAGGUAAGUGUACCGGAAGGUGCACUUAGGACACC